GAACUGCGAUAAGUAAUGUGAAUUGCAGAAUUCAGUGAAUCAUCGAGUCUUUGAACGCACAUUACGCCCCCUGGCAUUCCGGGGGGCAUGCCUGUCCGAGCGUCAUUGCUGCCCUUCAAGCCCGGCUUGUGUGUUGGGUCGUCGUCCCCCCCGGGGGACGGACCCGAAAGGCAGCGGCGGCACCGUGUCCGGUCCUCGAGCGUAUGGGGCUUUGUCACCCGCUCGAUUAGGUCCGGCCGGGCGCCCGCCGGCGUCAAACCCCAAUCUUUCUAAGGUUGACCUCGGAUCAGGUAGGGAUACCCGCUGAACUUAAGC
rnacentral:misc_RNA from 1 species